rnacentral:rRNA from 1 species
GCCCUACGGGAGGCUGCAGUGGGGAAUAUUGGACAAUGGGCGAAAGCCUGAUCCAGCCAUGCCGCGUGUGUGAAGAAGGUCUUCGGAUUGUAAAGCACUUUAAGUUGGGAGGAAGGGCAGUAAGUUAAUACCUUGCUGUUUUGACGUUACCGACAGAAUAAGCACCGGCUAACUCUGUGCCAGCAGCCGCGGUAAUACAGAGGGUGCAAGCGUUAAUCGGAAUUACUGGGCGUAAAGCGCGCGUAGGUGGUUUGUUAAUUUGGAUGGGAAAGCCCCGGGCUCAACCUGUGAACUGCAUCCAAAACUGGCAAGCUAGAGUACGGUAGAGGGUGGUGGAAUUUCCUGUGUAGCGGUGAAAUGCGUAGAUAUAGGAAGGAACACCAGUGGCGAAGGCGACCACCUGGACUGAUACUGACACUGAGGUGCGAAAGCGUGGGGAGCAAACAGGAUUAGAUACCCCAGUAGUC